CUCAUUUUUCCUUGUUCGGGGUUUGAGGUGCCACCUUACAAAAGGAUGGGUGUACGCUCUCUUUUCAGAAUGUGGUUCAUCUCAAAGCCCUUUACACUUUGGAGCCAGGCCUGUUCAAUUUUACAAAUAACACGUUUUGCUUGUAGUCAGGGUGCUGUGACAACAUGAAGAGUUCGAGCUACCUCCCAGGAUGAGUGCAGGUUUUCCUGGUGACAAAUCUCAGGCAUUCAAAGGUUCUGUUAGCAGUGCCAUACUUGUGGGUUUACAGAGAUGGUGUGUCUGGCUGAGAACAAAGGAGCCGUACCAGGAAAGUUGAAGCAUAUCUUCAUUUUCAAGUCCAGGCUAAAAUAAGGUCUGAGGAAAAGAAUGAGCUGCGUGUGAAGGAUAGGAACAGAAAUCAUGAAAGAUCUGUUUGUCCAGGCCAGUGUUUCACCAUAAGAGAUCACUUUAAAAUAAAUGAUGAAAUAAUUCUUUGC